CCAGAUUUUUACUCCCAACACCGGUAACUUCCCGUAAAUCUGUACUGAAAUUUUAUCCUGCUCGCUGAGCCUCCACUGGCCGAAGGCCAGUGCAACAUUCCUGUUGUUUUAGGAGUGCGGAUACCUUAGCUGAAGGUUUUUCAAAUAAAGAAAAAAAUCAUAUCGAACCGGCACGAUGGAAGGAUUUAGGAACUUUGACCGCUUUAGGAACUUUGACCGCUCAAAAAAGACACAUCUAUUUCAGACAUCCAGAAGGGACCCCAGAAGAGGCACCUGCCCCACCUGGGGACAUCUGGGAGAGUGGCUUCCGGCCGCCUGGGGCUGUUCAGAGUAAGCAACCCUGAGCCUGUACCGAGGACUAAAGACCCAGCGCCUGAAUCCCAGGCGAGCAGUGCCACCCCACCCCACGCCCGGCCUGGCAGGGCAGGAAGGCGCUGAGCAGGAAUGCCAUGAGACAGAGACCACUGUGAUGCUCCUGUUAUUGAUGAAGAGAUUAACAUGCAGAGCAGGUGUGUUCUACAAUGACUCCCCAAAAGCCUGCCGACUGUGACCUCCUGUCACCUCCCCCGUGGUGACUCUCAGCUGCUGCUUCCGGGGACCAUCUCUGAAUGAGCCGCUGCACUCAAAUCCCUGUUCCCAGACCUUCUUCAGGGGUUCCAAACCAGCAGCCUUUUCUCCACAGUUUGGCCCUUAUGCCGUUUGCCUCCUGAGCAUCUCCUUCUGGAAGGUUUGUAAAUGUCCCCUUUUCUGUGACAUCACAUCCCACCCAUCAAGUUCCAGCAUCCUUGCAGGAGAACCUCCUUCCCCUGAGGUCCUGGCCUUCAUCCAGCCUUUUAGCUGCAGUUGUCUGUGGGCAGAUUUGAUUUUGCUCUCACUAGAAACUGUGACUUACUCAUCUUUGUAAACCAAAGCCUCAGAGGGGUGCUUUAUACAGAGUGGAAGCCUAAUAAAUA